GAUGAAGAACGUAGCGAAAUGCGAUAAGUAGUGUGAAUUGCAGAAUUCAGUGAAUCAUCGAAUCUUUGAACGCACAUUGCGCCCCUUGGUAUUCCAUGGGGCAUGCCUGUUCGAGCGUCAUUUGCACCUUCAAGCUUUGCUUGGUGUUGGGUGUUUGUCUCGCCUUUGCGUGUAGACUCGCCUUAAAAUAAUUGGCAGCCGGCGUAUUGAUUUCGGAGCGCAGUACAUCUCGCGCUUUGCACUCAUAACGACAGCGUCCAAAAGUACAUUUUACACUCUUGAACUCGGAUCAGGUAGGGAUACCCGCUGAACUUAAGCAUAUCAAUAAGCGGAGGA
rnacentral:misc_RNA from 1 species